CGCGUAGGCGGAUGCUUAAGUUAGAGGUGAAAGCCCAGGGCUCAACCUUGGAACUGCCUUUGAUACUGGGCAUCUUGAGUACGGGAGAGGUGAGUGGAACUCCGAGUGUAGAGGUGAAAUUCGUAGAUAUUCGGAAGAACACCAGUGGCGAAGGCGACUCACUGGCCCGUUACUGACGCUGAGGCGCGAAAGCGUGGGGAGCAAACAGGAUUAGAUACCCUGGUAGUCCACGCUGUAAACGAUGAGUGCUAGUUGUCGGCAUGCAUGCAUGUCGGUGACGCAGCUAACGCAUUAAGCACUCCGCCUGGGGAGUACGGUCGCAAGAUUAAA
rnacentral:rRNA from 1 species